rfam:Martelella sp. AD-3, complete genome.
CCCCUUUGCAGAAGCAUUUGAAACACUUAUAUCAGGCCUGCCGGUUCUUCCGGCUAUGGUGAUAAACGGCGUUGUAAUAAGCUCAUUGGACCCGGGGGCGGUACCCGGCGCCUCCACCACAAACAGGCGGUUCAGGCCUUUUUGUGAUGGGGGCGAAACAGGAUCGACAAGAGUGUAAAGAACGACCUUUUACCCGGCAUGAUACCACCGUUAUCGGGUCAAACGAGUAGUUGCAAAUGACAACAAAGCUCAGGGUUACGCUGUAGCUGCCUAAUGGCGGUUCCAGAAACCCACCUUAAGUCCUUGCGGGUAGCACUGUAAGGCGGGGUCCGGAGGCACCUGGCAACAGAAGCCUCCACC